AUCAAUGUAUAUACUACUGAGGGCAAGCUAUUCCUUGAUCUCUGAUUGGUCAGUUUUAUGUUGUAUGAUUUCUUCUUUACUAACAUCAGCACAUUUUAGUCAGUCUACCACAUACAGCUGCACAAGAAAGGCACCUCAAACAUAUGACGUGACAAUUUGACAGACGUCUGAUUUCCACUCCUUUUUCGUCUACAACUUCUCUCUGUUCAAGAUGUGAUAUGACUGUUUUAUUGACUAUUGUUAUUAUGUUACAGGGUGAAAACAAAACAAACUAUAUAUUUGAG